AACCUAGCACACCUGCGGUGUGUACCUGCGGAGGGAUCAUUAUAGUAUAUGGAAUCUCCAUUCUAUAAACCCACUCUGCGUAUCUUGUAACUGUUGCUUCCAUGGGACUUGGUUCCGCCACACCGGCUUCACGGCUGGUGAGCGCCCAUGGAAGGAGAAACAAAACUCUUCUUUGAAAUGUAGUCAGUCUGAACAAGUUUUUAUAAACGUUAAAACUUUCAACAAUGGAUCUCAGAUCGG
rnacentral:misc_RNA from 1 species